AACGAACGCUGGCGGCAUGCCUAACACAUGCAAGUCGAACGAGACCUUCGGGUCUAGUGGCGCACGGGUGCGUAACGCGUGGGAACCUGCCCUUAGGUUCGGAAUAACUCCCCGAAAGGGGUGCUAAUACCGGAUAAUGUCUUCGGACCAAAGAUUUAUCGCCUUUGGAUGGGCCCGCGUUGGAUUAGCUAGUUGGUAGGGUAAAAGCCUACCAAGGCGACGAUCCAUAGCUGGUCUGAGAGGAUGAUCAGCCACACUGGGACUGAGACACGGCCCAGACUCCUACGGGAUGCAGCAGUGGGGAAUAUUGGACAAUGGGCGAAAGCCUGAUCCAGCAAUGCCGCGUGAGUGAUGAAGGCCUUAGGGUUGUAAAGCUCUUUUACCCGGGAUGAUAAUGACAGUACCGGGAGAAUAAGCACCGGCUAACUCCGUG
rnacentral:rRNA from 1 species